rnacentral:rRNA from 1 species
UACGAAGGGGGCUAGCGUUGUUCGGAAUCACUGGGCGUAAAGCGCGCGUAGGCGGACUUUUAAGUCAGGGGUGAAAUCCCGGGGCUCAACCUCGGAACUGCCUUUGAUACUGGAAGUCUUGAGUUCGAGAGAGGUGAGUGGAAUACCGAGUGUAGAGGUGAAAUUCGUAGAUAUUCGGUGGAACACCAGUGGCGAAGGCGGCUCACUGGCUCGAUACUGACGCUGAGGUGCGAAAAGCGUGGGGAGAAACAGGAUUAGAUACCCCGGUAGUCC